ACACCUGUCAGGAAUGGUCUAGAUAAUACUUAGUCCUGCCAUGAGUGCAGGGGACUGGACUAGAUGACCUCUCGAGGUCUCUUCCAGUCCUAUGAUUCUAUGUGGAUGACAUAUCUCAAGGAAUCAUAUACUGUAGCGUAAGUAACCAUUCCUUCUUCAUUUGCUCAUCUGAGACCUGAGUUUGAGGUUUUGUUUCCUUGAUCCGAUAUGAAGAUAUCACAUGUAUCCAAAGCAAAAGUGAGUAUAAGAAACCUCAGCUCUGCUUUAACUAUUUGUGAAGCCAUUGUCUUUUGGAAAGGAAAUAGAUUUUAAUCUUCAGAUUUAAGUAUAACGCCCCUGCAAAAAGGCAAACAGCUUAUAUCAGGACCCUGUUUAAGACGUGUAUAUUCUCUCUCACCCAAAGCAAAAUAAUGGUCCAGUAGUGUGUAACCUGCUUUGAACCAGAUGCUUGCUGUGCCUAGUAGGCCACUUCCUCUUGAGGCUGAGUUAGGUGUGUGAGAGACCUGAAAAAGUGUUCGUCUGUGUGCAGUCUGCCUGUAAAUUGCCCAGCAGUAUCACAUCUAAAAAUAUUGCAUGUUCUGAAUAUAUAUGUGUGUGUGUGUGUGUGUGUGUGUGUGUGUGUGUGUGUGUGUGUGUUUUUGCGGGGGAGGAGGGGGGGAGAAAUUGUUAUAUGCUGUCAGUUUUUGUGAAAUUUCAUCUUUUUCAUCUCAUCUCACCAAUAUUCAGGAACUUUGGUGUCACUCAGUUUCACGUGGCAUUGAGUCUGUAAGUGAAUACUGAGUAAUUUUGAUUUUACCUUUUUUCCAGAAUGAGAUGGUCCAAUAAAGGUUGUCAAGUUCAGAUUUAAUCAGUAGGAUGUUGUUGUGGUUAUGUCUAAUAUUUUGGGGUGGGGCUUUCCACAGUGAAAUGAGAGUGGAAGGGCAAGGGGAUCAAGUUGUAUGCUGAUGUCUCUUACUGCUCUGGCACUUUUGAACUAAACAUUUCCAGAGCCCAAAUGCUGGGAUGAUCAGUACCACAGUGAUAAGGGAGUGGUAUCCCAAUGAACGUGGUUCUAGGAUAUAACUGUUUUUGGUCUCACAGAGACCCUCUGUCCAAAUUUUACAUUCCAGCCCUUAUUGCCUAUUAUUAAGAAACAGGAAUGGAUCAUUGAGUUGUACUUUGUCCUUAUGUUUCCAUGUUGCAGCUGUACUGUGCUGUCAAAAUCUUCUCCAACAUCCCCAUUGGGAUGAUGGAGAAGUUCCGAUCAGGUGACAUGUCCAUUCCCUGAGCUUGUGUACAUCUGUGGGUACUGUAUAUUGAGCUGAGCUAAUGUUUGUCUAAUUAGAUCAGAAGCCAUGUCCUGGGGAUUAUUCUGUAUAAUGCACCUAUCCAUCUCCGAGGCAAAUGGAGCCCAUGUUGCCAUCUCGUCAUUUCUCUAUUCAGUUUCUUCUUUAUCUCUCUCACACGAUUAGAAAACAGUGAAGAGUUUAUUUAAAAAGAAUGGGAAAAUAAUUAAACUCCCUAGACAAUAAUAACUCAUUGCAAUGGGACCUGCAUUGCUUACAUCCCGUACCUGGAUGCUCUCUGAAGAAGCUAGUUAUGCAGUUUUGUGGUGUCCUCAUGAGAGGCUUGUGAAUACUGGACUGAAGGGGAGAUCUGAACGGAAAGCUUUUCCCACCAUUCUUUGCUUUCUAUCUAAAUGUAGGUGAUGGGGGUGGAGGAGUGUCUGUUAAUUACAGUGAUUAUUGUACCCUGCUGCAACUUCCUGUAAGGGUAAUGUAUCAAAGUUAAAGCAAUGACUCAUCAGAUUUCUAAUAUUGGAGUGAUGUGAUGUUGAAUUAACAAUGCUGUUUGUUAUUCAUAAUUUAUAUAGCGCCGGAAGUGUGUAUGAUACCUCAUAACAAAUUAAGACUACCAGUCUCUCAGAAAUCAAUGGGAGCUGAAGGUACUCAGCAAUUCAUAAAAAUGAGGCCUAAAUUAGCCAAAGGAAAGUGAAGGGUGAAAACACAAGGGCUGGCUGUAUGGGAAGGAUGGAAGUUACAGUGAUGGAUCACGAGACGCACAUUUUGUCAUACAAGCAUCUCGGCUCCUUUUUAAAUAUAAUUUUUGUGUGAAUUAAGAUUAGUUUAAGCUGUUGAUAAAUGUGCAAGGGAGAAACUAGACAGCAGAGAGUCCAUAUCGUGUUAGAGGACAGGAAAGGUGGAGGUUGGCUUUUGGAGGUGGAGCAAAAGAGUUAAGUAUUCAGGAUGGAUUUGAAGGGAUGUUUAUUUGGGAGAGCUCCGGUGUGUUUCAUGUGUGUGUUAUUAUGCAAAAGAGAAUUAUUCUGUUAAAAAUGUUCUCUCUCUUGAAAGGCAUUUUAAGUGGUUUUGAGCUGCUAUUAAGAUGAUUUCUGCCUUCCCUAAAAUGUUGCAGUCCAGAAGCCCUGUCAAGAGAAAGCGACCUUUGUGGGAGGAGGGAACCGCAGGGUGCUACAUAUCUCAGUUGUUGCAGCAGCCUUUUAAACUCGAGAGAUCUGAUCUCUAUUAUAGCCUAUCUUAACAAGUGAAUUAUUUGGACUCAGUCUAGUGCCAUCCUCCAGAACUACCACACCAAUUGCCAAAGCACAGCAUGACUGGCAGUCUGAGGCGGAAGUGUAGGACUAGAAUAAUGACUGGGUAAGUGAUCUUACACGUCAGGGAUGAGGUGCACUAGCAGAGCUGAUAAAUGAGGAUGGUGCAGGCCUAGCCUGAGAUGCAUUUGUAGACCUGCUGCAGCCCAAGAUUGAAAUAACAGAGGUAGCUGCAGUGUAGGAUUGAAAUACAUUGGCUGAGCUGUGUAGAAGAAUCUUUAAGAGCAUCUGACUUUGCUCUGCCUGGUUCUAGCCAGGGCUAUGAAUCCUUUGCUUUUAUGAGCAUCAAAAAUUUUGAAAGUUGAAGAAAAUUACCCAGCCUACACACACGCACACACAUAAGCUCAUAUAUAUCUAAUAAAGUAAUGUUAUUUCAAUAACAAACACAUAUUAGACACAAACAUUUAAGCAGCAGAAUAGUCUUGUAAUGUGAAAAAUGCCUUUAAACACGAUAUGUUAUGUGAUUAGACUUGAAAGACCUUCCAGCAGGCGUGCACUUUCUAUCCAAGAAACUCAAAGUAUUUUACAAAACAUAUAUGAAUUUAACUUCACAAAACCCAUGUUCUACAGGUGAGUCUAUUCUCAUUGUAGAGAUGGGGAAAUGGAGGCAAAGACCAGUGUUAGCUGAGAGAGUUGCCCAAAGUUACUCAAUGGGUCAGGUAGGAAUCUGGGAGUGAGACUUCUGACCUUAAGUCUCAUCCUCCGUCCUUUGUGCAGGGGUCCCUUCAUUUACCUUUUACACUCAAGCCCAGGUUCGUGUUCACUGUUACCGAAUGUAAGGGUUGUACCUACAGAUUCCGUCAAAGGUUUUUUUUCUUUCUUUCCUGGGAUGAAAGUAGAAGCAAGUCUGAAGUGGCAUCCCCUUUUGCUGGGACAAUGCAUAAAGAAUCUGUCCAUUUAUGCUCGGUUCUUGUUUGAUUGCAUAGGCAGAUGAUGAGAUGAGUUCUUUAUUGGAGGCCAUGCUCCCUAACAAAGGAGUCUUGUUGAGAGAACAUUACUUGUAUCACAUUACUAAAAUGGGCGCAAGGGAUGUCACAAUAGCUUUGUCCAGAAUCAUUUACUUCAAAUGCUAACAUAACAUGCUCUUUUAAGGAGCAACAAAAACCUUCAAUUUGUACAUAAAGCUUGCUAAUUUACAACAUUCGUUUUGCUGGUUAGUUUUCUUCUUAAUUGGAAAUUUUAAUUACUACGUGCUGUGUAUUAAGAUGUUGAAGCUGUGACUGGCAGUGCAGAAUUGCAGAAAGAUCAACCAUCUCUACAGGGCAGCCACACAGCAGGGAUUAGCUCGCCCCCUUCUGCCUGCAGCUAUCUUUUGCUUGCUGUGCCAGGUCAUCAGAAACAUGCUGCUAAAUAACAUGCAUCUUCCUGGUUGGCCCUUGUCACUUCCCAGGUGCUUGGGUUUCUCUUUCCGUUUUAAAUGAUACCUAUGGAAAUCUACAGAUUGGAAAGACCAGGGUUCAGAAUUGAAUGGCAGAUGGGGGGAAUUGUUGAUUUCACUCUGGCUCUGGAUCAGCCUUCCCUUUGUCUGAUUAAUGCUCUUGCAUUUUUCUGCCAGGCAGGACAGGACUCCCUUCCUAUCUUUGGAGUCAGUUGCUAUAUUUGCAGUUUACAUCAGUUCCAGUUUUCAGUCCUGCCUAGCAAUUUAGAAGAGAGUUGCGUGGGGAGUUCUUGUUCUCUUUUAUCUGCUGAUGUCAGCCAUCUAUUACACACUGUGCAAAGCACAUGACGUGCAUGUUGGGGUGUGAAUAUCCCUUGAGGGUAGAUGUGCUUUACAUGUUCUUCAGGCUCCCUUCUUUCUUCAUUUGCCUUCUUUCCCGUUGCUUUAAUGCAGAUUCACAGGAAGAUAAGACCUGCCAGAGAGGAUCAGAUCAGUGGUCCAUCUAGUCCAGUAUCUGGUCUCUGUCAGGGGCCAGUAUCAGUUGCUUCCAUGAAAAGUACAAAAAAACCCAUAGUGGAAAAUUAUGGAAUAAAUUUUCUCAUUGGGGAAGUUUCUGCCAAACUCCAGUCAAUUGUUGGUUGACUUAUGUCCUGAAGCUUGAGGAUUCAUAUCGCCUCUAAUGUAACUGUGGAUGUUCUCAUUACCCACACAAAUAUCCAAUCCUUUAAAAAAUCCUGCUAAACACAGAGACUCAAAGAUAUUUGGUAACAUGGAAUACUACAGGUUAAUUAUGCAACUAUGUAAAAUACAUCAGUUUUUUACAUUUUCUGCCUUUCAGUUUCAUAAUUCUUGCAUUAUGAGAGGGUAAAUAGGAACAUCUGAUUUGCCUUCUUUAUACCAUUCAUUAUUUUGUUUACCUUUAUUACAUCCCCUCUUUCUCAUCUCCUUUCUGAAUAUUGCAAAUCUUUUCAUUUGUUCUUCAUAGGCAAGUUUUUCUGUGCUUCUAAUCAUUUUCAAUCAAAAUAUCUCUUUAAAAAUACGACCAGAUCAGAUCACAAUACUUGGAUGUACCACUAAUUAUAUAAUAGCACUAUAAUACUUGGCUAUUAUCUAUCCAUUCCCUAUGCAUCAUAAUAUUUUGUUUACCUUUUCUGAGUCCUGCUGUGGAUUGAUCACAUUUUGUUGAGCUGCCCACAGUGCUGCCCAGAUCUUUUAUCCUGAGUCAUUACAGUUAAUUUAGAACUCAACAGUUUGACCAUUUAAAUUAUUCUUUCUGUGAUUUAUCUUGCUUUUGUCAACAGUGAAUUUUGUGUUCCUUACCCUAGCCCACUCACCUUGCUUUGUUGGGUCUCUCUGAAGUUCCUCCUCAUCUUCUGAGCCUCAAUGAACUUAAUUUUGUGUCCUCUGCAAAUUUUACCACAUCACUGUUCCUCACUUCAGAUCCUUAAUACAGUAAGCAAUACCAGUGCUAGUAUGGAUUCAUGGAGCAACCCCAGUGUUAACCUUUCAUCAUGUUGAAACUGAACCAUUUAUUCCUACCCUUUGUUUUCUGACUCUUAGCCAAUUUUUAAUCCAUGACAUGACUAUACAACUCACUCUGUGACUACUUAUUUUGUUCCUUAGUCUCUUGUGAGGCACUUGUCAAAUGCUACUUGAAAGCCCAAAUUGUCAGCUGGUCCUCGGUUAUUCAUUAUUUUGCAGCUUUGCGGGAAGAAUUCCAGUAGACUAGAGAGACACAAUUUUCCUUUGCAGAAACUUUGCCUGUUUGGCACGCCUCAGGUCAUGGUUAUUUAGGUUUUCUAUUUUUCUGGUUUUAAUUAUUGCUUCAACCAGUUUACCUGGCACUGAAAUAAAGUUCGCUGGUCUGUAAUUCCAAGGAUCACUCAUAGCCCUGUUUUUAAAGAUAGGCACAACAUUUGCUACCCUACUAUCUGCCAGUAUAGUAGCUGAUUUUAAUGAGAGUGCAUAUUUUUGUUAGCAGCUCAUUCCUUUAGUCUCUUGGAUAUAGACCAUUUGUGGUGACUUACUGCUCUUCUAAUUCUUUAGUUUGGUUUGACACCUCAGUUGCUGACAGUAUAUUAUCUUCUUACCUGAAACAGUAGGGCUUGGGUAGGUAUCUUGCCAACAUCCUCUGUGGUGAAGACUGCCUCAACAAAAUCUUUUAACUUCUCCAUUAUUUCCUUAUUCUCUUUAAUUGCUGCCUUUAUUCCCUGGUGAACUGGAGAUGGCAGUGUUCAUUUGUUUGCAACAAAUAGAAAAUGAAGUGUGAUGUAGAAAAUAAAAUACAAUUGAAAAGUGGACUGAUACUUAAAUGUUCAUGUUGGGAAUGCUCUAAUGUAAAUACCUCAUGGCUCCUGCCUGUAAAUUCUGACAGUGCUCUGUCAUAUGUAGGUAUUUAGUGGUUUGGAGUGCCUCAUCAUCCUGAACUCAUAAAAAUCAAAUCCAGGUAAAGCCAUGUGGUGAUGUGGAGCAACGGAAUCCUCUCACUGAUCACUGAAAUGCAGCUCCCUCCCCGCCCCCCCGCCCCCGGACUGGAAAAUGGCCAUUGUACUAUGAUGCCAGCAACACUGCACCACAGCUUUGCAGAAGAUAUCACUGCAUUAAGUUGAAAUUGCAGGGGGAAAUUUAAGUAUGUAGACGGCAAUGUAGCUGAAUUGAACUGUACUUGUAUCUGUCUAUCUAGAUACUCAUGUGGCCCGUGUCACCAGAGUAUCUGACUGCCUCCAAAUCAUUAAGGGAUAUUAUCCUUACAACACCCCCAUGAAGGAGGGAAGUAUUAUCCCCAUUUUACAAGCGGGAAAUGAGUCACAGGUUGGAAGAAGCGACUUACCCAAGGUCAUGCAGGGAGUCUCUGGCUGCCAUGGAACAUGAACCUAGGUUUUCAAGUCCUAUCCAGUGCCAUGUGCUCUGGAUCAUCCUCCUCCUUGAGGGAUGGAAUUUUGUCUGACACAAGUGAUAACUCCCACACUGUCUUGAAGGUACCCUGAGAUUUUUAAUAUUCCCAAACAAAGCUCAGUUUAAUGCUAUAUCUGGAACAUGACACUUGGUAUCUUAGACCAAACAUCAUGCCUCAUGAUUACUGAAUCAGAUGGAAGAAUGCCACCUAUUGCACCCCCAUUACCACUCCUCGCCACACUUUGGGUUUUCGAUGGCCUACAAUCCAAGAAGCACCCCUUGCCAUUCCAGUAGGUUGUCCUUCUCACUAACUACAACCCUAAACCCAAACAUCCCCAUAUUCUGGGGUGACUGGAAUCUGAACCCCAUUCUGGACCCAAAUUUCAUCUCUGCUGUCUCUAUUAUCAAGCCUAAAUCAAAACAACCCUGAACAUUUUUUUAAGUGAGGGAGAGGGAUUUACAACUUGGAUCUGGAUCCACAUUUUACAUCUAAACUGCAUGAAGUUUUGUUGAUUUGGGUGGUUGCCUCCUAGGGAUUUAUGUUUUUGAGGCAGUCAGAUACUCUGGUGACACGGGCCACAUGAGUAUCUAGAUAGACAGAUACAAUUGCAGUUCAAUUCAGCUACGUUGCCGUCUACAUACUUAAAUUUCCCCUUGCAGUUUCAAUUGGAUGUGGUAUCUCAGUGCAAAGCUGUGGUGCCAUGUUGCUUGGUAUCAUUUUCACAAGAAUUCUAAGCUGGGAUUUGAAGUGAAGGUGAGUCUGACCCUUUUCCCUGAUGUGAUGCCUACAGCCCCAAUUUAAAUGGCUUCAUUAAUAUUUUAUAUGCAAAUAAUGCCCUUACCAGUACCACUCAUGCCUUCCUUUUUUACUGGAACGUUAUUAAGCAUAUAAGAAAUCCAACAGCUGAUGCCACAAGAAGCUAUUGGAUUUAAGCCCAUCUGAACAUGUAGCUAUUAAGACAGCUCCUGCCCCUUUGUGUAACAAAUGGUUAUUGGUUAUUAUAGAGAGCUACACAACUUCACCUUCGCAUGGAGUGUUCCUCAGAGAAUCUCCAGCGGAAGGUGUUUGCUGCUGCUUGAGCCCUGGGAAAUGCUCUUACUCCAUUAGCCCUGCUGCACUUGUUCCUUUUUUUUUUUUUUGUAGUGAACCCAAAGAGCAGGAAAAUGUAUCUUUCCAGCCACGCAAGCAGGAAUUAGGUUGACUGUACUUUACACAUAAACUAACAAAUGAGGGGAGAAUCUGAGCAGCCCCUGGGGACCUGAAUUUGUUUGCCACUGGGCCGUUCUAUCUGCAGCUGGCAUCGACGGAAACCUGAGUGCUCCAUUAAAGCUCAGCAGCUACUAUUCGCUGGGGCGCAGGGCAAACAGAGCCAGCCUGUUCUGCAGACAGACUGACGGCCUUUAUCUCCCCCCACCCGGCUCGCGAUGGGAAAUGAUGAGACUGAAACAAAAAGCUUGAAUCGAGGACUCCUGGCUCGUACCCUGCACCUGUUGUACUGGUGAGGAGUGGAGACACAAAGUUGCUUUUCAGGGGCCUAGCAGUGGGAAACUCGUUUGAGAGCACUGCAUUAAGCCUGGGUCAGGGCUAACCUUUGGGUACUGAUGGGGAUGAGCAUGCAUAGCUCUUUCCCCAGCUCUGGCUGAUGAUCAGAAAUUAGGGAACCAUGAGUGUCUACAUUGUAGAAUCCUGGGAAUUGCUGCUCUAGUUACAAACAUGGAGGACAGGGGGGCAGCAACCUAUGCUGCCCCCACCCCUUCAGCUAUGUCCAUGGAUUAAUUCCUUUUAAAGUCUUAAACAAAAGAAAAGGAAUUAAUCCUCUUCCUCUCCCCCGCCACCAGCCCCCACGCACCCUCUUGCAGUAAAGAUUGUCAUUAAAAUGAACAGACCUAUUCUGUCAGAAAGACAGGUGACUGUUCAUUACCUUAUCUGAUUCUUUAACCCUGUAGCUGCCAAACAGAAAGGAACUAUAUAUGUUUCUAGUGGGGAGCUGUUAAUAAUUUGAAUUGUUGAGAAGCCUGAAUAAUCCACAUCAAUGACUGAAUUUUAGAAGUGAAAGGCUUUGAGUUUAUCCUUGUAUAUAAGUAAUAUUCCAGCAAUUGGACAACUGUCAUGUUUUUGUGUCUGUGUGUUCUCUACAUUAAGUUCAUUAAGUCCUUGUGAUAUCAGAGUGCUAAAGCCAAACCCAAUACACUUAUUAUAUUGUUAUGAUUAUUAUUUAUUAUUGCAAAUCCAGGGUAAGUGGCCUUUCAAAUGUCCUUCAACCCCGAAGAGUCUAGGUCCAGGAGGAGUUUGCUGGCAAAUAUUCAGACUAUCCAAAUUAUAGCUAUGUUAGUUCUGAUGAACCAAGGCGCAUCUCUCGGUAAAAUAAAAUGAAGGGGCUUGUGAGUUUAAAAUUCAAAUAUCAAUCUUAGUGUGUGUCUGUUAGUGUGAGGGAGGUGGCUGGCUGGGGAGACCCUGACCUAACAAGAAUUCAGGUGCAGUUACACCUCUGUUCUGCUCACUGCUACGCUAUCCCUUUGUUCCACGUGCGGGGUGUAUAAUCAAUAGUUUAGCAUGUGGGGCAGCCAGUGAGUUGCCAUGUCUCAGAUACCUUGAGGCCAUGCUUUGUACACUGACCCAGUGAUAUAAUUUAAUAGUAAUUUGCCACUUUCUUUGAGAGUCUGGGACAUCUCUUCUCUUUGAUUGUCAUACACUAGCACAACUGUCUGGGUUAUAUGUGGGCUGUUUUAAAGCAACCCUAGGUUUUGGGGAUAUCUUUGGGACUUGUGCAUAAUCUUUUUUUUCUUCCUCAAUCACAGCUGAUUUACCAAGGUACUCUGUGUGUAAAUAGUGACUGUCUCCUUCCUAACCAAUCUCCUUCUGCUUCUUGGUUCCUUUAAUGGAGUUUCUAGUCACGAUACCAAUCAAAUGUCAGGCCUAUAUCUGGUCCUCCUAAGCCCUGAAUGGAUCAGGACUGAGCUGUUUCAAUAGCUGUUCUCUAUCCACUCCUGUCCUGGUCAACUACAUGCAACAGAGGCACUUCAACUGUUGGAGCCCAAGUUUGAACUUGUGACAGUCGGGGGCUGGACAGUCUCAGUGUAGCCCCCGGGAUUAUGGAACUCUCUCCCACGGCACAUCACGCUGACUAAAUCUCUUGACCUAUAGUGAGUGGCACAAGAGACAUGCUUUAAGACAGUUGACACCAAUGGAAUUCCCCACUAGCCCCCAAUCAACGUAAUGGAAGCAGGGCAGGAAUGUCCUACCUUUUUGGAGAGUUUUCAAGGAGUGUGAGUGGUGAAGAAAUCCAGCCAUGUGAACAUUAGGAAGGAUUUGGCAGACUGACAAUCCCCUUAAGAUUCUCUGGCACGCAUGCUGCAUGAUGCCUGACAGCAUCUCUGUGACAAGCUCUCCUGCAUUAAGAUUGUGACCUGAAGACCAGAGCAUCUCAGGAAAUCAGGGAAGAACAAGCAAUAAGAGAUGCUGAGUGAGGAGUAGCAGUGUCUCCAAAAGAUGUCGUAGGUUGAAAGGUUUCAUUUUAGUUUUGGGCUUGAUCCAGAACUCCUGAACCAUCCCUGAUGUUCGCAAUGGCAUGCUGGGCAGGAAAGAGGCAAGUGUGAAACCCUGUGUGGCCUCUUUGCUACCUCCUUGAAAAUAAAGCAGAUAUAUAGUGUUGGGAGAUCUGGUUGGCCACAUGAUGGCCACCGUUGUGAAAAUUGCCUUGUUUCAUCUCAGUGCAGUGUUGUGACACUGCAUUAUAAUGCCACCAUGUCCAGGCACAACACAGUCUUGUUAUAGGAUGACAUGUGCUGGCCCAAAUUAAACAGGCACUUCAAAGCUUCCGCAAUCCUGGAGGUAUCCAGAUAGGUGGCAAACAACCUAACUCAGGAAACACUGAGAUUAGAGCAAGUACAGAAGACUUCAGCUUCUGUGCCUUGUGUUCCCUGAUGGUGACCAUUUCACAAUAUAUUAGUAGAGGUAUCCAGUAAUGUGUCCAGCAGAAACUUCUGUGUGCAGAGUCCAACCCUGUCCAUGAGACCCUGUUUGUUUUGUUUUGAUAUGGACUGCAUCAUGCCUUUUGUUCAUCCGUAGCCUUGACUCCUUGCACUCCAGGUGCACUUGACUCUUUUCAGAAGGCCUAGGUUUAUCACUCUUGGAUCAGCUGUUUGCUCUGUUUUUUAUAUAAAAGCUUUUCAAAGGGCCUUUGGAACUGUCUGUGUUAUUUUUGGCUUGGGUUCCCAGUAACACUCCUUGCAGAAUUAAAACUUCUAAUUAAACAGCAAAAGCCAAAUUGUUGCAAAGUUAAGGUGGAUAAUUUAAUUGUGAACAAAGCAGAGAAUUCAGAUUUAAGGAUUCCCACCACAAUCUUAGCUCUGCCCAUUAAGACUCCUGCAUUACAGCAAGGACAUUCCUUACAAUAUCUAGAUUUUUUUUAAAAACUCAACCAAACAUCCCUGCUAAACACUUGGAUGGUGCACAACUUUAGACAACCAUUCUACUAAAAAAAAACCCUCUUACCAUUUAAACAGAAGACAUGGAAGGGGUUGGGUACAGGGGAAAAGAAGAAAUAUGGGCAGUGAGGAAAAGGUAAUAAUAGAAGAUAGAUGCAAUGAAAGCAGACACGGGUUAUAUUUCUCACUCUCAGCCCCUGAUCAACUGCGUGAACUUGGAUGAGCUACUUACUCUCCUUGUGGCUGUCUCCUCAUCCUUCCCUUUUGAAACAUGCUUUGAGAUCAUCUGUCAAAAGACCAUACCCUAUAGAAGUAGGGUGUGUGUAUAUGUGAAUUCCUGUGAGAUGCUAGCUGCCCUUUCUGUGCUUGUAGGGGAAUGUAUGCCCAGUCCUGCCUGUAUCCCUGUGGGGUUCCAGCCAGGUGCUCUCUGCCUCUUUGGGCAUGCCUGCCAGGCACUGCCUGAAUCCCUAUAAGCUCUCUUAGCUUCUCUGUACUUUUGGGAGGAGUUAUGGGGGUGUGUGCCAGGCCCUGCCUGAAUCCCCAUGAGGUUGCCGCCAUGUAUUUUGUGCCUUUAGGGUUUCUUGGCAUGUGUGUAUGUGUGUCUGGCGCUGUCUGAAUUCCUGUGAGGUUCCAGCCAAGCUGUCUGCAAAGCGGCUUCUGAGAAGAAGAAGAAGAAGAAGAAGAAAAAAAAGAAAAGCAGAUGAUUGACAUAAGCCCUUUAGAUUUCUGUUGUUAAUGCACCAGUAAUAAGAUAAGGCUUAUCUUUAAAUGUUCAUGGAAUCGAGACUUUGAUGGAAACAGGCUUUUGGGUUAAUAUAUUUUUGAUAGAUAAAGCAGAAUAAAAUGAGAGGCCGGGGGAACCUACAGUAUCUGGGGAGAGAGACUUUUUUUCUUUUUAAAUCUCUCUCCCCGCAUGUGGUGUGCGGGUAGUUUAUAUAUAUACUGUAUAUACAUUAUGUGUUUGUAAACAGGCACACAGUGUGCGUAGCCUGUGUAAGAGACAGCCAGUUGAAAUGAAGUCUGCUGUUGUCUGCCAGUUGGAAUGAAAAAAUCUAACCCUUUCUCCCUCCAGUUCUGCUCAAGUCCAGUCAUUGUCGAGGCGGGUAAAUGCGAACCAAGGUUGCAAUGCAGCAUAGAUUCCAAUCCCCCUGCCCUGACUGGAGAUGAGCUGUGUGCCAGCUGCUGGAGGAGUUUGGGCAGCAAAGUCUUGCUGUUCGUUUAGCCUAGAGGGGGAGUUUUGGACGUUGCUUUACCGACUGCGUUUCAGCUUGAGCCCGUUGCGCGAUCUGUUUUGCAUAUUUGCACAUUUGGAUGAAAUUAUCUCACUACUGUGCGGUAGUACAGUAUCUGUGCAGACCAAGCCAACUGCUGAGCUACGGCACCAUUUUCCUGGAUCGCUGAUGGUUUUCUGGUUGUUUUUAAGCAGUACCUCUAAAUUACAAUUGUCACAUCUUACUCCCGCUUGAGUCUCCUCUCAUCCCCCCUCAAGCCCCAGGCAUAUUCCCCUGUGUUAUCCUCCCUGCCUGUGAGCUUCUGCACCACGGCUCCUGCCAUCUAAGCUACGCAGCAUGUCAUGGCAGGGAGGUGGGGAAGCCUUGUAAUUCUGCAUUGCUGGUCGAGGGGAUAGCACAGAAGGGGGCAGUUGUCUAACACUGCAGCACAGACCCAAGAUUGGGUAUGGAGCCCCUCCAGGGUGUA